GAAGAAGCACAGAAGUUGGUUGAAACUUACAAUAAAGAAGGUCGAGAUGCUGGCUAUGGAAAGAAGCAGUCCAGCUUUAGCUCUGGGCGUGACUCAAGAGGCGACAAGAAAUUUAAGUCUGAACAUGACUACCCCUCUAGAGAUCGAUGGAGCAGUGGUGACCGAGGUCGUUGGGGUGACCGUGAAUCAAGAGGAGGGUGGCAUCCUCGUGGUGGAAUGGACCGUGAUGGUGAUAGGGGCCACCGUGGAAGAAGUGACUCGCGUGACAGAGGCCGAGGUGGUGGAUGGCAAGACCGAAUGAGGGGUGGCCCACCUAUGGGUAGAGGAUUUAGAGGUGGCAGAGGUGGACCGGACUGGCGGUCUCGCGACGAUCGAGACUUCGAUGGUGGUAGAGGUGGAAUGAGAGGUCGCGGAGGUAUGGACCGUGGCGGAUUUAGAGGACGUGGAAUGCCUCGUGGUGGUCCCCGAGGAAGAGGCUUUGAUGGUCCUCGAGGUGGACCACGCGGACGCGGUGGAUUUGGUGACAGAGAUGGUUUUGGUGGAGAUAGAGGCUAUGGUGAUAGAAGCUACAAUGACCGAAACAAUUUCAAUGACAGGAGUUAUGGCGAUAGAUCUGGACGAGAUGACAAGAGACGGGAUGGUAGUGAAAGAGGAGGACGCGGCGGAAGUCGAGAUGGAGAUGCUAGCCAGAAUCGUAAUCAGACAGCUAGUCAGAAUAACAUGGCUCAAAAUCAGAAUGCAGGUGGAAAUUGGAUGCAAGGAUAUGGUCAGAACCAAGGUUGGGGUGCAUGGAACCAGUAUGCCAACCAGUGGAAUCAGUAUAACGCAGCCGCUGCUACAGCAGCUACCCAACAACAAGGCGGAUGGAAACAAGCUGGAUAUGGCACACAACAAGCGUCUGGAACCACAGCUACAACGCAAGCACAGCAACAAACAGCAGCUGCCAAUGCUAACUACACGCAAGCUUAUCAACAACAAGCUGCUGCUUACGGUCAAUAUCCAAACGCAUACAACUGGAAUCAGUAUGGCCAUAUGCCCAGCAGUAUAGCCAAUGGGCUCAGCAAUGGAAUCAAUACGGUUACAACUAUGGUGCAGCAGCUGGCACAACUGGAGUAGCAACGGGUGCCACCACGGGUGCCGUUGCAGGAGCAACAAACACAGCAGUUCCUCCUCCAGCUGUAGCAAACAAAUAAUCGCUCAUCCUUGAGUGAUCCCUGUAAUUUUACUCCUUGACAUUUAAUGAAGUGUGUAAAAAUUCAAGCCAUUUCCCCGAGUUAGAUGCACGUUAAGUCCACUCAACAAGAAUCUUUUUGUUAGAUCAGUUACACAAGUUGCAAUGAAUUUGAUCUUGGAUACUCAUGUAUUGGUGAUCAAUAUCAGCGUCAGUCCAAAGGCCAAAUUCCUAAGUCUCAAAUCAUUGGCGUCAUUAUUUUUGCAGGAAGCACAAUAGUUGAUGUCACUCGUGGUUUUUUUCUACCGUGGUCUCAGUGAAUCUCAAUGAAUGAACAGUAAUCCAUGAUUUUGUAAAGGCAGCACGAAUGAAACCUGGGUAGAUAAAAACCAUGGUACAUGAAUGUGGAGGAUGACAUGUCCAUUGUGUUUUUUUCAAUGAAAAUUCUCAUGAACCUUUGAUGCAGGAUCAUCAUGUUUGCUGCAUUGUGAAUAUCUCUUAUUGAAACUAGAUACCAUGAUGCCUGCAAUUGUCUAAUUUGAUCGCUGUCUCUCUCCAUCCCCCAAGUUCCAGUUUGACUAGUUAACCUGAGCUAUUUUUACUUGAUCUUUAUUUUUAAGCACAGCAAGUAAUUUGUGAAAACAAUUUCUAGAAUGUAUAAACCUAUUCCAUUUGGUGAUAACAAUAUCUAUUUCCACUUGUAGCAAACUGUAAGUGCUAAAUUGCAUGUUCAUGUUAGCAUUGAGUGAAAACUCCAUUGAAGAUCUCCGAGAACCUGUGGCUAUCAUAAUUCUCAUAAAAAUUUAUUUUUUAUAUAAUUGUAAUAAUUUAAUUGUUUGUUAUCAUGAAUGAAAAGAAUUUGUAUUGAAGAUAUUUGAUUAUCUUUUCUGGAUGUAUAAAUUUGUAUAUAUAUAGUUUGUAAUCUUACUGAUGUGUUAUCUUCGAUUGAAAUAAUCUCUUGUUUCUCCAUCAUUUUUUCACUUUUACUUUUUCAAAUGAAUUUAUUCCUGAAGAUUUCUCUGAAUUGCAUUUUUAUUCUCUGGUCAUCGCUCUUAAACAACAGCAUAUUCAAAUUCAAUAUUCAUCAGAUUUCAUCCCCCACCCUGAAUUUUUUUCCUGAAUAGUUUUUCUAUCUCUGCUGUAUUGAUUGUUUGAGUUAAUAAAUAGUUCUAUUUAUUUCUCAUUAAUAUGUUGUUCUAUUAAUUUCAUUAUGAUAAAAGUACGAUGCUUUUUUCUUGUGCAAAUUUUAUUUUGCCCUUGACUAGAAACUUUCAACUUGAUAAGUAUAUCCAACAUAAUUUUCCGUUUGUCAUUUUUGGAAAAUGCACAAACAAGUUCACUCUGAAGCACUUCUAUUUUUGCGAUUACUUGAUUACCAACGAACUAAUUCAUGGAGAAAUGAACAUUUUAGUUAAAAAGCUGUUUGGUCGAAGGCGUCAGCCAAAUGUCAAUAGCUAUAUCUGCUGUAUCAUUUGUCAUUUAAAGCAUUUCAAAGGAAGAUGAUGGGAGGUAACUAAAAACAUAAGCGCAAUUAUAGCAUUAAUCUCUUAAUUUUAAUUAUAUCACAUGUAACAUAGAACAAAUAAAGAAAAAAACAGCUAUAAAUACAAUAAUUACAUCAUAUGGACUGUACAGAAGAGAUUCCGCAUACAAUUAUAAAAUUUUACAAGAGACAUUGAGGCGAUUUGCCUGCUUGUAUUUCCUUGUAAUCCAUUUUCCAUGGGAAUACUGAAAUUCGAACUGUUAAAGGUAAAGUUAACUUGAAGCACAAGGAAGGAAAACGCUCUGAAUUUGAAAGUUAAAAAAAAAAUAUUUGAGAAAGUUACCUACUUCCAACAUGAGUGAAAAUUAUUUAAGAACAACAUUAUUUAAAAUAUAUGAGAGAGCAAGUCCCUUGAAAAGAGAUUUCAUACCCUUGCAUUAAGCAUCAUUAGUCGACUUGAGGUUUUUAAUUAUCUAUUUUCAGCAGCAAGAGGCAUUCUGUGCUUAUUUUAGCACCUCUUAAAAGUGGUUAAGCUCAUAAUGUAACAUCAGGCUCAUGGUUCAGAGUUUCGUGAUGAUGAGUGCACCAAGAGUGCUGUAACUUUGCUUUUAAUUUAAACAUAGCCACUGACAAAAGAAAAUUUUCAAGAACCUGAUUUCUUCUAUUUAAAACUUCAAUUUUAAAAUCGUUUAGAAUUGGCACAUUUAGAGAAAAAAGAGGGGUAGUGGCAAAGGUUCUGGUUCCUAUGUUUUUGUAUUAUUUUAGUACUUUUUGAUUUACAAUCGAUAGCAUCCAGGAAUGUUAACUCACUAGGUGAUCCUGAAACAGUAAAACAGGAUCAUUACUCCAUUGGGGACAGGGUCAUGUUCAGAGAUGAAUUUUAACAGAAAUCAAAAUCCUAAAACAAUAUAAUUUUCAUUUUCAACAUUUUGGUGCUGGUCGAUUUUUCAUGAUGAUGAAAAUGGACCAAUUUUCGAAACAGAAAAAUGCGAAUAUCUCGUUAACCGUUGGUCGUAGGGCAAAACGGACGAAAUUUUGCCAGCCCUCCCGAAUCUCUGAGAUUAUUUUGGGACACCCGAUGGGCCCAUGGGGUUGAGGGCCCCCCAA
rnacentral:lncRNA from 1 species